rnacentral:lncRNA from 1 species
GGUUUUUUUAUAUGACCAUUCCGAGUUUGUUCCGAUUGUUUGAUAUUUAUGUAUAAGGUGCGCAUUUUUUGUUUAAAAAAACAUAAUCGUGUCUGUGUUAAAAAGAUGUCGGAAUGAAGAAUUACAGAGGAAUGCAUAUGGGAAAAAAAUAAUUAAAAGGAGAUUUGAGAAAAGAGGUCGGACUAGGUUUUAUUCAUACUCACGGUAUGACAGCUGUAUGAGUAUACUUAGACUGAGUUUCUAGCAACAUUACGGAAUAUUUCGAUAUUCAUAGAUGCCUAAGGAUGAGUGAUCAAAACAGAAAUGGUGUUAAUUAGACCCCGUUAACACUUGCACGGAAUUGAAAUAAAAUCGAUCUCUGAAGAGCAUCUCGCGUUUUCGAUCUUUUUAAAAGAACUUGUGCGUUUACAUUUAGUAUACAUUGCAUAUCUAAAAUAAUCAGCCUAACCAUUUCGUUG